GACGAACCGUGCGAACGUUGUUCGGAAUCACUGGGCUUAAAGGGCGCGUAGGCGGGCUCGUUAGUCCAGGGUGAAAGCCCCCGGCUCAACCGGGGAAGCGCCUUGGAUACUGCGGGCCUGGAGGGGGGUAGGGGCGUGCGGAACUUCCGGUGGAGCGGUGAAAUGCGUAGAUAUCGGAAGGAACACCGGUGGCGAAGGCGGCACGCUGGGCCCGCCCUGACGCUGAGGCGCGAAAGCGUGGGGAGCGAACAGG
rnacentral:rRNA from 1 species